rnacentral:lncRNA from 1 species
GGGGAGAAGAAAUAUUAAGGGAGAAUUAANGGGAGAAAUAUUUUUUCAAUUGUACAGGUACUGCUAACUCUACGGUUGUCCAUUAGUUUGUAUGUGUUGUAGGUAAACCUGAGUUGCUUUUAAAAAGAGAGUUUUUGAUCAUCAUCAAAAAGGGGGAGAUUGUUACCAAUAUAGAGUAUUGGUAAAACCUAAAGAUGAGUUUUGAU